GAUGAACACUAGCUACAGGCUUAACACAUGCAAGUCGAGGGGCGAGCAUGAAGUUUGCUUGCAAACUUUGAUGGCGACCGGCGGAUGGGUGAGUAACGCGUAUCCAACCUGCCCCCUUCCCGGGCACAGCCCUUGGAAACGAGGAUUAACUCCCGAUGGUGUCAGACUAGCGCAUGCUUAUCUGACCAAAUGUUUAAGGAAGGGGAUGGGGAUGCGUCCCAUUAGCUUGUUGGCGGGGUAACGGCCCACCAAGGCUCCGAUGGGUAGGGGUUCUGAGAGGAAGGUCCCCCACACUGGAACUGAGACACGGUCCAGACUCCUACGGGAGGCAGCAGUGAGGAAUAUUGGUCAAUGGAGGCAACUCUGAACCAGCCAAGUAGCGUGAGGGAAGACUGCCCUACGGGUUGUAAACCUCUUUUGUCGGGGAAUAAACCGCGCCACGUGUGGCGCUCUGCAUGUACCCGCAGAAUAAGGACCGGCUAAUUCCGUGCCAGCAGCCGCGGUAAAAGU
rnacentral:rRNA from 1 species